UUUAGUGUUUAUAUAUAUAUGUAAUGUUCUUUUCCCCCCUUUUUCACAGCCGCUUCCCCCCUUUUUCACAGCCGCUCUAUUACAUUCCGCUUCUCUUUAGGGUUUCGCUGCUCUUGGGAGUUCUCUCGAAUCGCUCAAAUCGAUGGCCAAAUCUCUGGGAGCUGGUUCCAACGGUGGUAAUGGAGGGGGGAAGGGAAGAGGUGGACGUGGAAAUGGUGGUGCAGAAGGAAGGGGUCGUGGAGGUGGUGGACGCGGACAUGAUAUUGGUGAAGGACGGGGUCGUGGAGUUGGGGAACAACGAAAUAUCAAUGAGGAGGAAAUGGGUGAUCAUAGAGCAGAUAUGGAGGCAGAUAUUGAUGAGGAGGGUAAUGGUGAUGAAGGUCAUGAAGAACAGGCAACACAAACACAGGAGAGUCGAAUUGUACGAAGAGUUACGUUUGAGAGGGCCAACCGUAGUUGUUCUGUUGGUGAUUACCAUAAGAAACCAGCCAGGGAUGAAGAUAGGAGCAUUGUUCAUUUUCUCGAAGGAAGAAAUAUCAGGGAGGCUAAGAAGAAAAAGACUCUAAGCUAUAUUAUAAAAGUGAAUUGGCGUGAAGAUACGCAUGAAUCAAAGGGACUGGAACGUGAAGCCUUUUAUGACCGCUGUCUUAGGGAUUUCAAGAAAUACUAUGCCUAUCCAAAGGAUAGUGAUCCAGAUGAGGGGGAUAGGGCUGUGAGAGUUUGUGAAGAAGAACUGGAAGAAUCUUCCUUAUCAGGAAAAGAAGAGGGCAGAGCAAUCAGCUGUAUAUGCAAGGAGGGGAGGACUGAAAACUGCAACUCGACAUACUUUCAAGCCUCAUUACUUUAGCCAACGCAUCUGGGACAACCUCAAUUCGUAUUGGGGGUCUGACCUAUUUAAAAAAAGGUCAGCUAAUGCUAAGAAAGCUCGAGCAAAGGUGGAGCAUAUUCACCACAGUGGGGCCAAGCCUUUUAGCCAGAGAAGGGAGGAACUUGAGGAGAAAAAGCAAGGGCUUGUUUCCGAUAUGGAGUUCCUGGACCAUGUGUACCACUUUGAUGAUCCGGCUUCUAAAAAGCUAAGGAUCUUGUGUUGAGGGCUUCAGCUGAGGUAAAUCGUAUGGUACGUUCCUUGGAGAUGAGGGAGGUGCCACGUGCAUUCUUAAAUGAACAGAUGCAUCGCCUGGCCAAUGAAGCCUUUCCAGACCGUGAUAACCCAGUUGAGCAGGAACUAUGGACCCAGUACAUGCAACUAGCGACGGCUUUUGUUGUUGAAGCCUUGAAAUUGAAUGAUAAGGUCAUUUUGGAGGGAACUAGCAUUGAAAAGGCACCAAUAGAUCGUGAUACCUCUCGCACCAAUGAUGAAGAUGACGACGAAGAUGAUGAAGCGGAGGACUUCCCCCUUCAUUAGCUGCACAAGGUUUAUCGAGGACUUAACUUUUGGAACAAAUCUUUUGAGACUUGACUGUAAAGACUAAACAUCACUGACGUAGAUGUAUAUUUUGCGUACAAACUCAGUUAGUAGUACGUAGUCAGUCUAUAGGGCCGUAGGGAGCCUUUAACUGAAUUUGACUAAACGCUUAGUAGGUUGAACAUAUUUUGCUAAAUAUUCUGCGGAACCUAGCAGAACUUAUGGUAUCCAAGCUUCCUAUAUGAUCUGAUGUUGCAUGUAUUUGAAGGCUGCAUGUAUUUGAAGUAGUUUAUCUUUUGCAA